UAUUUGAUAACUUUAAGUGCUAAAUUGUAAAUUUAGAAAUAGAAUUUGUUUUCUUCAAAUA
rnacentral:tRNA from 1 species